rnacentral:rRNA from 1 species
UACGAAGGUCCCGAGCGUUGUUCGGAAUCACUGGGCGUAAAGGGUGCGUAGGCGGGUCUUUAAGUCAGGGGUGAAUCCUGGAGCUCAACUCCAGAACUGCCUUUGAUACUGAGGAGCUUGAGUCCGGGAGAGGUGAGUGGAACUGCGAGUGUAGAGGUGAAAUUCGUAGAGUAUUCGCAAGAACACCAGUGGCGAAGGCGGCUCACUGGCCCGGUACUGACGCUGAGGUGGCGAAAGCGUGGGGAGC